rnacentral:rRNA from 1 species
AGGACGAACGCUGGCGGCGCGCCUAAACAUGCAAGUCGAACGAGAAACCCGGGCUUGCCCGGGUGGACAGUGGCGAACGGGUGAGUAACACGUGAGGAACCUGCCCCGAAGACCGGGACAACACCGGGAAACCGGUGCUAAUACCGGAUACCUUCACCGAAUCGCAUGGUCUGGUGAAGAAAUGGAUUCCGCUUCGGGAUGGCCUCGCGGCCUAUCAGCUUGUUGGUGAGGUAAUGGCUCACCAAGGCGACGACGGGUAGCUGGUCUGAGAGGAUGUCCAGCCACACUGGGACUGAGACACGGCCCAGACUCCUACGGGAGGCAGCAGUUAGGAAUCUUGCGCAAUGGGCGAAAGCCUGACGCAGCGACGCCGCGUGCGGGAUGAAGGCCUUCGGGUUGUAAACCCUUUCAGCAGGGACGAAGCGAAAGUGACGGUACCUGCAGAAGAAGCGCCGGCUAACUACGCGCCAGCAGCCGCGGUAA